GUAGCGAGCUUAACCGAGUAGGGGAGGGCGUAGGGAACCGAGUCCGAAUAGGCGGCAUAGUUGCUGGGCGUAGACCGAACCAAGUGAUCUAUCCAUGGCCAGGUUGAAGGUGCCGUAACAGGUACUGGAGGACCGAACCCACUAGUGUUGCAAAACUAGGGGAUGAGCUGUGGAUAGGGGUGAAAGGCUAAACAAACUUGGAAAUAGCUGGUUCUCUCCGAAAACUAUUUAGGUAGUGCCUCACGUAUCACUCUCGGGGGUAGAGCACUGUCAUGGCUAGGGGGUCAUCGCGACUUACCAAACCAUAGCAAACUCCGAAUACCGAGAAGUGCGAGCGUGGGAGACAGACAUCGGGUGCUAACGUCCGGUGUCAAGAGGGAAACAACCCCAGACCGCCAGCUAAGGUCCCAAAUGACGUGCUAAGUGGUAAACGAAGUGGGAAGGCAUAGACAGCCAGGAUGUUGGCUUAGAAGCAGCCAUCAUUUAAAGAAAGCGUAAUAGCUCACUGGUCGAGUCGUCCUGCGCGGAAGAUGUAACGGG
rnacentral:rRNA from 1 species